AUUGAACGCUGGCGGCAGGCCUAACACAUGCAAGUCGAGCGGAUGAAGGGAGCUUGCUCCUGGAUUCAGCGGCGGACGGGUGAGUAAUGCCUAGGAAUCUGCCUGGUAGUGGGGGAUAACGUCCGGAAACGGGCGCUAAUACCGCAUACGUCCUGAGGGAGAAAGUGGGGGAUCUUCGGACCUCACGCUAUCAGAUGAGCCUAGGUCGGAUUAGCUAGUUGGUGGGGUAAAGGCCUACCAAGGCGACGAUCCGUAACUGGUCUGAGAGGAUGAUCAGUCACACUGGAACUGAGACACGGUCCAGACCCCUACGGGAGGCAGCAGUGGGGAAUAUUGGACAAUGGGCGAAAGCCUGAUCCAGCCAUGCCGCGUGUGUGAAGAAGGUCUUCGGAUUGUAAAGCACUUUAAGUUGGGAGGAAGGGCAGUAAGUUAAUACCUUGCUGUCUUGACGUUACCAACAGAAUAAGCACCGGCUAACUUCGUG
rnacentral:rRNA from 1 species